rnacentral:rRNA from 1 species
UCCCGGAUAGUAUGGUGAUUCCGCAUGGUUUCUCCAUUAAAGGAUUCCGGUUACCGAUGGGGAUGCGUUCCAUUAGGCAGUUGGCGGGGUAACGGCCCACCAAACCUACGAUGGAUAGGGGUUCUGAGAGGAAGGUCCCCCACAUUGGAACUGAGACACGGUCCAAACUCCUACGGGAGGCAGCAGUGAGGAAUAUUGGUCAAUGGGCGGAAGCCUGAACCAGCCAAGUAGCGUGAAGGAUGACUGCCCUAUGGGUUGUAAACUUCUUUUAUAAGGGAAUAAAUGUGGGUACGCGUACCCGUUUGCAUGUACCUUAUGAAUAAGGAUCGGCUAACUCCGUGCCAGCAGCCGCGGUAAUACGGAGGAUCCGAGCGUUAUCCGGAUUUAUUGGGUUUAAAGGGAGCGUAGGCGGGCGCUUAAGUCAGCUGUGAAAGUUUGGGGCUCAACCUUAAAAUUGCAGUUGAUACUGGGUGCCUUGAGUGCAGUAUAGGCAGGCGGAAUUCGUGGUGUAGCGGUGAAAUGCUUAGAUAUCACGAAGAACUCCUAUUGCGAAGGCAGCUUGCUGGAGUGUAACUGACGCUGAUGCUCGAAAGUGUGGGUAUCAAACAGGAUUAGAUACCCUGGUAGUCCACACAGUAAACGAUGAAUACUCGCUGUUUGCGAUAUACUGCAAGCGGCCAAGCGAAAGCGUUAAGUAUUCCACCUGGGGAGUACGCCGGCAACGGUGAAACUCAAAGGAAUUGACGGGGGCCCGCACAAGCGGAGGAACAUGUGGUUUAAUUCGAUGAUACGCGAGGAACCUUACCCGGGCUUGAAUUGCAACCGAAUUAUCCGGAGACGGGUAAGCCGCAAGGCGGUUGUGAAGGUGCUGCAUGGUUGUCGUCAGCUCGUGCCGUGAGGUGUCGGCUUAAGUGCCAUAACGAGCGCAACCCUUAUCCACAGUUACCAUCAGGUUAUGCUGGGGACUCUGUGGAGACUGCCGUCGUAAGAUGCGAGGAAGGGGGGGAUGACGUCAAAUCAGCACGGCCCUUACGUCCGGGGCUACACACGUGUUACAAUGGGGGGUACAGCAGGCAGCUCGGCGGCGACGCCCGGCCAAUCCCUAAAUCCCCUCUCAGUUCGGACUGGAGUCUGCAACCCGACUCCACGAAGCUGGAUUCGCUAGUAAUCGCGCAUCAGCCACGGCGCGGUGAAUACGUUCCCGGGCCUUGUACACACCGCC